rnacentral:sRNA from 1 species
ACUUAAGCCCGACAGCAGCAUUUAUCCUUUUUUGUGCGAAGAUCUUUCCAUUCCCAAAAGAAAUUCACAAAAAAGAUAAUGCAAAUGGCGGGGCCGCUU